AUUGAACGCUGGCGGCAGGCCUAACACAUGCAAGUCGAACGGUAACAGGAAGCAGCUUGCUGCUUCGCUGACGAGUGGCGGACGGGUGAGUAAUGUCUGGGAAGCUGCCUGAUGGAGGGGGAUAACUACUGGAAACGGUAGCUAAUACCGCAUAAUGUCGCAAGCCCAAAGAGGGGGACCUUCGGGCCUCUUGCCAUCGGAUGUGCCCAGAUGGGAUUAGCUUGUUGGUGGGGUAACGGCUCACCAAGGCGACGAUCCCUAGCUGGUCUGAGAGGAUGACCAGCCACACUGGGACUGAGACACGGUCCAGACUCCUACGGGAGGCAGCAGUGGGGAAUAUUGCACAAUGGGCGCAAGCCUGAUGCAGCCAUGCCGCGUGUAUGAAGAAGGCCUUCGGGUUGUAAAGUACGUUCAGCGGGGAGGAAGGGAGUAAAGUUAAUACCUUUGCUCAUUGACGGUACCCGCAGAAGAAGCACCGGCUAACUCCGUG
rnacentral:rRNA from 1 species